UGCAUGCCCACACAAAGGAAUCCUGACGGAGGAACAAUGGCUCGGUCCUGCUGUGUAGCACUGUGAUAAAGGAACGCCUUUCAGAAACCAAUUCCCACACCAGAUGGAAAAUGCUGACCACUGUCAUAGACCUCAGAAAGACUGAAACCAAAAAAUAGAUAAGGAAGUUCCAGAAAUUCCCUAGCUCUUAACUCAUUAUGGAUACCCCCUCACUCCUGCUUUAAAAACCCUUGCUUAUAAGCUAGCAGGGAGCUCAGGUGUUAAGUGCUAGGUACCCAUUCUUGCUUGGCACCCGGCAAUAAACGCCUUUUUCUCACUACAAAUCCCAGCAUCAAUGUUUGGCUUUUUUGGCAUGCUGGGUGACCAGAACCAACCCCUUCUUUGUGUACUUGCAUCCAACUCUGAUGAGCCUAUGUAUGUCAAGCUGGGUCGAGGCCCUUUGUGCUGAACACCAAGUCAACCUAAUUAAGGUUGAUGACAACAAGAAACUAGGGGAAUGAGUCGGCGGCCUCUGCAGAAUUGACAGAGAGGGGAAACCCUGUAAAGUGGUUGGUUGUAGUUGUGUAGUAGUUAAGGACUAUGGCAAGGAGUCACACGCCAAGGAUGUCAUCAAAGAGUACUUCAAACGCAGGAAAUGAAUACAUCUUUGGCUCACAAACCCCACAAACUUUUGAACGAAAUCUGCUUAUAUGAUGUGACAUACAUUUCUUUCAGACAUGGAUUUUGAAAUCCUAUCAAUAAAAGCCACCAGGUGAGACUGACAAGUCUGGUUUUGAGCAUGUAACUGCUUUGUUUUCUGAUAUCUGCAAAUUAGAGUGACCCAGUGCAGGCUCCUGACAUUUUGACCAUGACAGGCUGUCUGAACCCUGGGAGCUCGUUGUGCCCAUCCUCAGAGAUGUCCGUGUGUGACACAGCAGAGACUACUCCAGAGAUAACAGAUGAAAGCCAGCAGAGUACAAGGCAUAAAUGUGCAUGUCCUUCUGUUUUCUUUUUUUUUUUUUUAAGGGGUUCUGACUGAGCAGGCAGAUAGGGAAGGAACUCAGAUGACGAGCAAGUGCUGGGUGUUGGGGAAACAAUUUAAAUUUCCUACCACCCCAGAAUUUCCUCUCCAUAAAAUAUAGGAGAGAAAAAAAUGUUUAUUAUUGAAUAAACAUGAAACUAGUGAUGCGUAUCUUUAGCAUUCUGCUAAGGAGAUUGCAAAGACAGAAAGACAUCCCACCCUUUUAUAUAAGCAAGCAAAUAGGACCCAUUCAUUACAUACAUGUUCUCUAACUCAAGUAAGAGGACAUGACAGCACCAUUUGUCAAGCAUAAUUCCUCCUAAAUUCACCUGGUAAUUGGGGUGGCCAUUUGUGUUCGCUAAUUGCCUUUCUCAAAAGGAAAAAUGAAACUGAAGGUCUCUAGGACAGCAGGUAGUUUUACAACUUGGAGCCAGGUGCUUCAAUGAAACUACUACCCACUGCCCUCGCACUGACAGUGGGAGGUAGAGAGCUAUCUUCCUUGAUGUCUACAUUUUCAAAGAGAUGGCUUCCAGACCCUUGCAGGAAAAAGAGUCCUAGGUUGUAAAAUCGACUGGAGACUUACUUCGCUUUUUAAAAGAUUUAUAUACAUUUCAAAAGGGCAGCAAAAUAAUUUACAAGUUUUGUAAAGGAAAUGCUCUAAGUAAAAGGAAGGAGGAAGCUCUUCCGCUUUUUGCAUGGGCUUGUGGGGGUAACAUUCUGGAAUUCAUGAGGAGCAUGAAUUGGUUUCCUCCCUCCACGUGCUGGAGGGCACAGUGUAUGAAGCUUAGCAAGGCUCUAGUCGGGUGGACAAUCACUGGGAAUUCCACGCAUCAAAGGGACAAGGGACAAUCACUGGGUCCACUCUAUACUUCAGAGGGACAAGACCCAGUGAAUGUAGAACUGGGCCACAGUUUCUCUUGGUUCUCAAAGCACGCUGGCCCACACAUGAUAGGUUAUCAUUAAAUGUCUGGUGAGUGAGUGAAUGAAUGUCAGGAGCCUGAGAGACUUUAGAGGUUAUUUACCUCAGCUGAAAUUCAGGCAUCCCUUUCCCUAGGCUCUCAAAUACCAGCAGUGCUGGGGAUCCCACCACUUGCCAAAGCACCCAUUUUACUGGAUAACUAUUAUAACAUUUUUCAUAUCUCAAUAAGGGGAGAAAACAAAAUCAGAAUACUUUCAAGGGCAAGGUACUUUUUUCAAAACAAUCCCAAGAAGCAAGUAUCCCAUGUCACAGAGGAGGGAACUCAAAAACAGAGACUUUAACUAACAGCCCAAGGUCACACAGCUAAAGGGAAAUCACAUGUAUCGCAUGUUCUGCAUCAGGCACUCAUUUAAAUAAAGAUCCUUUCACUCACAAGGGUUUACCAUACAAAUAUUACAGCAUGUCUAGAUGGGGUCAACCCCUUUGUCUCCCAAGGCAUGGAGCUGCCAGAGAGUUCCAGCUGCCUCAGAUUCUCCCUGAUCUCUCAGGAAUGCUGAGUGUUUUCCCUCAAGCAGGGUUUCCACAGGCGAAUGCCGAGGGGAGGCUAAGUAUGGGGCCAAAAUGCCCACAGCACAUAGGUGUCAUUCCAGGCAGCACUGAGGGGAAGCAGAACCAGGAGAUGGCCCUUGGGGCCUUCCUUCGCAGAACACCACUCACCACAGAGUUCCAGGCGAUCAGUGGGUCAUGUGAGUCAAGGGCAAGUGAGUGAAUGAUACUGAUAUGCUUCAGGUAGGGAGAAGCCAUGAUGGGCAGCAUUGGAGGGAGGGGAAAGAGGGGGCGAGGAGGGGGUAGAGAUAGUAUUUGUCUACUUAUUCAUCUGAUGACUAUUUACCUACUGUAUGGCAGCUUUUCCAGUCCUUUGAGGAAAAACCCUAUGUGCUGAGCACUGGGUUCUAUUAGUUUUAUGAGUAUUACCCCAUUUAAUCCUCACUACGGACCCAGGAAGUAGAUGCUCGUGUUAUUCCCAUUUUACAAGUGAGCAGAUGCAGGGAGAGAAAGGCAAAACAACUCACCCAGGACCACACAGUUUGUGAGUGGCGGUGCUGGGAUUCUGGCCAGCAGUCAUAGUCCACACUCAACCAGGGCCCUCUGCUGGGCAACUAGAAAUUGUGUGUGAUUUGUGGUCUACUUGGGGAGCCAGAGCCUGUUGGGGGGUCCUGGGAGGGCAUGGUCGGCUAUGGGACAGACCAUUCAACAAUGUUUGAGGAGCCUUGUCAGGUCUUAACCAUACCAAAGCAUUGUAUUGCAUGCCUCCACCCACCUUGGGACUGGGACCAGGUCACACACUGCACAGGAUUCCAAUGGAAACAACGAAUAGACCCUUGCACACCCAUGUGCAUCAGUGGAGGACUAUGGAUGCCGUGUGCCCCCACUCCUCCCUCCCAACAGCUGCUUUCCAGGCAUCUUCCAGCUGGGGAAAUGGCCAUUGCCCUCAGCCCACAGCAGACUUAGCCUACCCUUGAAUGCUGCUGAAAAAAAAUAAAGGACUAAAUGUGUCCCCUGUUCUAGUCCAGAUUCUUAAGGAUGAGGACACAGCAUCCUGGGCCACUGUCACUAAUACAAAUUUGCCUCUGAGGGACUCUGUGAAAGAUAAUUCCGCUGAAAUUUGGAGAGUUGAAUUAAGCUAGGACUGAGUGUGCCUGGAAUUUGUGGUGGCCACCUACCCUAGAGGGCCUCAAGGAAAACCAUGGUUCAGGACAAUCCUGACAGAUUCUAGAAUCUAGAACAGAACACCUGUUCUACCAGGGAUGGAUUUGAACAUGGCAAGGCCAACCACCAAGUUCAUGGCCUGUGUACAGCAAAGAUGACGUUACAUCCUGAGAGCUAAGCCUGGAAGCUCUUUCAUCCAUCUGUUUGUCCAUCCAUCCAACCAUCCAUCCCUCCAUCUGCUCAACACAUGUUAGAGAAUCAAUCCGUGUGUCAGAUACUGGGGCUGCCCUCAAGGAGCUUUUAUCAAGUUCAGGGUACAGCCUAGCAGGGGAGACAGAUCACUGUAAAAACCUACCACUAUAAUGCAAAGGACAAGAGCAAAAAUAGUAAAGAGGAGAGAAGACCCAAAUUUCCCUGGUGGGUCAGAAAGGGCUUUCUAGAGGAAGUGAAAAAUCUUUGGGGCUAUCACUUCACCUCAUCCGGUGGAUAAAGGGAGGACUUUCCAGAUACAGUGGACAGAAUGUGCAGAGGCAGGAGCCAUGAGUGGCAGAGGCAGGGCAGGGACGAGCCGAGACAGGCUGGAGCUGAAGCACGAUGGCACUGGAGCCAUAGCCAAAGGAACAAACUGUGAGACCUGGGACUUGAAUUUGGAGGCGGUGAAACGUGACAACAAGGUUCCUCGCAGAAGAGUGAUUUUAUUCAACUUAUGGAAGGUUGACCUCAGACCAGUGCUGCCGAAGUGUGGUCUGUGGGCUGUUAGCAGUUCAUGACGAUGUAAGUACAGGAAUUGAGAGUAAGCAUUUAGAACACCUACAGCACUUUGAUAGUCAUUUUACUUUUUAAAUUUUGAGCUGGCAUUUUGCAUGCCUGUUUAUUCUACCUUUUUUUUUUUGAGACAGUCUCACUCUGUCGCCCAGGCUGGAGUGCAGUGGUGCUAUCUCUGCUCACUGCAAGCUCUGCCUCCUGGGUUCAGCCAUUCUCCUGCCUUAGCCUCCCGAGUAUCUGGGACUACAGGCGCCCGCCACCACGCCCAGCUAAUUCUUUGUAUUUUUAGUAGAGAUGGGGUUUAACCGUGUUAAAUGGAUGGUCUCGAUCUCCUGACCUCGUGAUCUGCCCGCCUUGGCCUCCCAGAGUGCUGGGAUGACAGGCGUGAGCCACCACGCCCGGCCUUCUUCUGUGUUUCUAAUAGUUGCACUUUAUCACAUUUUACAAAUGUGUGGGUCUGCUAUGGAUUAGAGAAGAGAUUUUGCCACAGAUAAAAUCUGUGUUGAGAAGCCCAGCACUGCCACUCAACAAAUGCAGGUGCAUUCAGAUGGUGAAAUAUUCUGCAGCUAUUAAAGGAAUUAAAACUGCCUCCACUUACCUGGAUGCCCAUCUGUGACACCCUUUUAGGUUAAAAGGAAAAGAAAAACUUGCUUAGAACUGAAUAUGAGUGGUUGCAAUUUUGUAGCGAUGAUGUAUGUACAUAUACAUUUUCAUAUAUUUGUAUGAACAUUAAAGUUUUGAAGGAUAUUCAUCAAACUGCUAAAAGGGUUGCUUCAGAGUAACAGACUUGGAGAAGGCAGAUUCAUUUUCUCUUAAUGGAACUCUGUAUUAUAUCAUGUGUAAAAAUAAGCAUGUGUUACCUUUAUGAUAAAAAAGUAAAAACCUAAAAAA